UACUUUAAAUGACCCAAAGAUAAACAUCAUGUCCAUUUUCAUUUCUUUUUCUUCGCAACAGAGAACAGAGAACCCUAAAAAAAUCAAUUAAACUCGAAUCAUCAAAUUCAAAGCACAAUUCUUCAUCGAAUCAUCUAAAAUUGUCAAAUUCAUCGUUCUUACCAUCGAUCUUCAAACGGGAAGAGAGAAUUCUUCAAUCAGUGAGGUGUAUCGACGAAACAAUUGAACCGUACGUAGAAUUCACAUAGAAUUAACCAAGGAUUCGAAGAUUAUAUCUGACGAGUUCGGGAAUAACGGGAUCGGAACCACAUCGGCUGUAAGGGAGUAUUACUUUGGAAAAUAGCGGUGGACUGUGAGUUUGCAUUUUUACUUUUGAAUAUUAAUGCAACGUUGUUUAAAUUUUUGAAUAUUUAUUUUAAAUCGCACUGCAUUCGAUAUUUAAAACUGAUAUAGAUCCGAUGGAACAUGCUUUCCUAUUGAGCGGCAAUAGGACUGAGUGCGCACCAGUAACGAUCAUAGUAAAAGUAAGUAAUGAUUAUUUAUAUGUCUAAGGCGACGGUACAUAGCGCACGGCCUAGACUUAACGGGAAAAAUAUGAGGCGACGGUACAUAGUUCACGGCCCAGACCCCGAUACAGAUUUGAGGCGACGAUCCCAUGUGCACGGCCCAGAUACUGUAAAAUAAGUGAGUCUGUGACGAUGGUCCCAUGUGCACGGUCCAGACUUCUUGGAUAAUAUAUUGUGGAUUAUGGCAUGUUCUGAUAUAUGAUUCGAGGUUUAGGGUUUCAUUCGGAUCAAGUAUGUGGCUGCAUUAUAUAAAUGAUUUUACAUGCGAUUUUAUUUUAUUUAAUGGUCAUUAGUAAUUAUGUAAACUCGCUCAGUUUUUACUGACCCGUUGUUUUUCACCCAUUUUAGGUAGAUAAUAUUUUGACGUAAUCAGACUUCCAUUCCUUCUUCCGGAAGUCAGUAUUUUGUAUGUAAAGAAAACCGCUGUUUACUUCUAGAGCCGUAGUAGUCUAGUAGUUUAGUGGUCUCGUUUUGCUGUACAAACUCUGAUUUUGUAACUACUACAGUUUGUACAUUAUUUACGGUUACUGUGUAGUAGUUUCUUAACUAAA